CCUAAACGACGCAAUUUAAAAUAAAAUAAAAACUUUGGCAAAGGGUAAAGUCUACAAAACUUAGACCACUCUGUUCGUAACAGAUUUUUAGUUUUGUGAACCGAACCUUUGAUUUCAAAUGUUUCAUCGAUGAAAGUUUGCAGAAUGUCGGUAAAAAUCCAUCUCGUUCCAUUUUCUCCCACUGCCGGCCACUGGGCUUCAUCUGAGUGGAAACGCAAAGCGGAUGCUUCAUAUUGAUACAUCCGGCAAGAUAUCAGUCUCAUUGUUCUGUGACAUAAACUUGAAGUCCAUUAAAAAAUCAGUACGGACCUUGAACAAAGAAGUAAGCAGGACAACGCGCAGCUCAACGAGCCAAUAGUAGCCGAGUUUAAUUUUGCGUAACUGAACGCGCCAAUCAUAGACUAGUCAGGGGCUGGUACCUACCGUGCGCCCGUUUUGACUCGCGACUGUAAAGGAGAAUGAAGAGCAUCCAAUUACAUUUUAUGCGACAAUGUCAACAGGAUCCCAAGGAGGCCAGUGAUCUUGUCGAUACUGAUUUUGCCGAGCCACCAACACAAGAUUCGGCUAGCAGUAGCCUUAACACUGCCACCGGCUUUGCCCCCGUUUCGCCAACCACUGCCGGUGGGAAACAAUACAAAUACAACGCACAGUGGGAGAAAGCUUUCCCGUGGUUGCAUUUUGAAGGAAAUGUUUUUAACUUUCCGGCGUAACGUUUUACCUCACCUCUCAAGAUGACAACUCCACAGUAUGACUUGUCACACACCCUCCCUCCCCACACGCUGACCCGGCUGGCACGGGAGUGGCUGGCAGAGGACACACCGAACUUUGACCCUGCAGGGCUGUGUGUGGGGUCACAUGAGGUCGAGGCCAGGUUGUUGUGUAAAACGCCGUGCAGCAUGCUGGCAGGCAGGCCUUUCUUCACUGAGCUCAGCUGCACUGUGGAAUGGGCACACAGAGGGAGCACAGCUGGGUAAACUCUACAUUGACCUCACCUCCACCAGGUCCAGAUGCGGUGGCCCAGACUGCUGUGGUCAGAGGCCCAGCAAGGUGUAUCCUCCUCGGGGAGAGACCGGCCCUCCACUGCCUGGCCCGGGCCUCGGGGAUAGCCACCCGCUGCUCCCAGCUACAGAGCAUCGCCAGGGAGGCAGGCUGGCAUGGCCAUGUGGCUGGCACGCGUAAAACCACCCCUGGGUUCCGGCUGGUGGAGAAGUAUGCCAUGUUGGUGGGCGGCUUGUCCAUGCACAGACAGGAUCUGAGUGGGAUGGUGAUGCUGAAAGACAAUCAUAUAUGGGCAUCAGGGAGUAUCACACAGGCAGUGAGGGACGCCCGCUCGGUGUGUGGCUUCAGCAGUAAGAUUGAGGUGGAGUGCGGCAGCCGUGAGGAGGGCAGUGAGGCGGCCACGGCAGGAGCCGACAUUGUCAUGCUGGACAACUUUAAGCCACAGGUGAGACUGAUGAAGGACUUCCCAAAGCCAUCAGGGAAGUAAUGUAAGUAAUGUAGAGACGUACUGGAGGGCUUAUGAUAAAGCAGAAGAAAUAUUUCCGUUGGACAUUCAUGUACAUUGGACUAUCAAUGUAAUAUUCUUCUUCCUCCUGUAUGUCAGUGCUGUGCAUUUCGUUCAAUCUCUUCUUUCCUACACGGUCUCUUCCCGCACUCGUCUCUUCCGGCCUCUAUUCCUCGUCUGUCCCUUCCUCUCUCAGGAACUCCAUGCAGCAGCCCAGCUUCUGAAGGAGGAGUUCCCUUUUGUGCUAAUCGAGGCCAGUGGAGGGGUGACCUCAGACUCCCUGCCCCAGUAUUUCUCCCCCCAUGUGGACAUCAUCUCUCUGGGCUGCAUCACCCAGGGCUGCCCAGUGGUAGACUUCUCCCUCAAGGUUCAAAAGCCUGUUGCCUUUCCAAUUAUUUUCCAAUUAAAGUAACUUUGGCAAUUCAGGAUUUUUGUUAAUAAAGUGAAAAUAAAAAGCAACGGUCAAUUUCCUCACUUUUCAUCCAGGAGAUGAUCAAGAGAAAAAAAAAUCCAGAAAUGUUACGUGAGAUUUAAAACUAUGACAUUCAGAGAUGACUGUAUAAUUUCUAUGCUGCGUACAACUAAUUUAGAAAUCAUUAAAACUGUGAAGACUGUUCCCUCAGUUUGUUUUGUCCCAAAGUGAUCAUCUAUUAUAUGGGAUAUUCUUUAGAAUCCCAAAUCUUUAUGAUCCACCGGGAGAAAAGAUGACAAAUUAGUAACUAAGUCACUAUACUGUUAAAGCUUCAUAUGGAUUAAAACACACUGCACUUCCACCACUAAAAGUGCCAUCACCUGUUAAAUGAAUAAACCAGAUAUCAGUAUUCAAAACACUUAAGUUAAACAUGCAUAAAAUCGCCAUCAUUGAGUUUACAUUAUAUAGGCCUAAUAACAUCAUGCCCAAACCGCGUCCGCAAAUUGAUUUUCUCCCCCUACACCAAACGCGAUCAGGACACGCAGGUUGAAAUAUAAAAACAAACUCUGAAGAAAUUAUAUUAAUUUGUGGACAGGUCAAAAAGCAUUAAACAUUUAUGGCAAUUUAGGUAGAUAGCUUUCUGUUGCUAGCUAAUUUGUCCUGGGUUGUUAUUUUACCUGAAAUGCACAAGGUCCUCUACUCCGACAAUUAAUCCACAGAUAAAACGAUCAACCGAAUCGUUUCUAGUCAUCUCUCCUCCUUCCAGGCUUCUUUUUCUUUGGACUUUAUAUGGCGAUUGGCAUCUAACUUUCAUAAUAAGGUGUAUUACCACAGCUGACCAACCAACCGACCUCAGGUCAUCUUUCAAUCACCCACGUGGGUAUAACCAAUGAGGAGGUGGCACGUGGAUUUAUGCUUCUAUAAACCAAUGAGAAGAUGGUAGAAGUAGGACUUGCACCGCGUUCAGCGUCACAAAUAGAACUGAUUUCUAUUUUAGGGUUUGGCAUCGCAGACGCUCGUUGGCACAAUGAUUGAAUAACCUGUAUGUGUACAUUUAUUUUGCAAUGCGAUGUGGUCAGCAUGUAACUGUGAAACAAGUUUCAGUUUUGAUUAUGGUUAACGUGUACCAUUUCCCUGAUAUGACGUGGGUGGCUAGGGCAUAAGGUUUCAGGAAAUCAGUUCCAUUUAGGAAGAGAUUAUCUGCCAUUAUAACCAGAGUUCUUUCAAGACAUGUUCCUUUUUGAAUUAUGAAGUGACAGAUGGUGUUUCCCCUGCAGCAAAGGACAAUGUGGAUGGAGAUUUUACAGAUCUCAUCAAAAACUUCCACCAUCUGAACAUGUAUGGAGAUGAGAAGAUGGACUGGGUUGAUCAGGAAAUUGGAGUGACCUGCUGUCAGGAGGAGGACCACAAUGAGGAAAUGGACUGGAUCACCUCAAGAAAUCCCAGCUUCUGCAUCUGGAGAGAAAGAAAAGAUGAGGAAGACAGCCUUUAAAUGAAGACAGCCUUUAAAUGAAGACAGACUUUAAAUGAAGACAGCCUUUAAAAUCUUCAUUAGCUACCCAUCUGUUGGGUGGCUUGGUCAUCAAAACAUUGGCGUAGUUCACACUCCUGUUGUACAACGCAUCUCACACAUCAGCUGUGAUACACUUUAAGGAUCCUUUAAAUGGGUUUGUCUCCAUACAAACAAAUUGGCAAUAGUUGUGUAAAGAUCAGUUGUAUCACCUCAGUGUGAACUAGGCCACUGUAGCCUAAAUAUGGCAUUGGUACCCUCUUAGGGUUUUGUAAAUACUGUACAGUAGGAUAUAUGGUUAUACAAUCUAGACUGACAUGUAAAUAUGUUGAGUAUCUAUUUAUUUUCUCACUCAUCUGUCGUUUGUUGGCCUCUUUAAUAUUCUGGUAAGUGGUAUAGGUGUAGCCAAAGAGGCUUUAGUAAGUGUAGAUGUAGAUGUUGAUAUAUACACUGAGUGUACAAAACAUUAAGAACACCUGUUUGUAUCAAGAACUUCAACGCUGCUGGGUAUUUCCAUGCAAAAAAAUGUCCCGUGUGUAUCAAGAAUGGUCCACCGCCCCAAACGACAUUCAGCCAAGUUGACACAGCUGUUGGAAGCAUUGGAGUCAACAUGGGCUAGCAUCUCUGUGGAAUGCUUUCGACGCCUUAUAGAGUCCAUGCCCCGAUUAAUUGACGGUGUUCUGAGGGCAAAACGGGGGAACUCAAUAUUAGGAAUGUGUCCCUAUUGUUUUGUACACUCAGUGUAAAUAUUACCCCACAGCAUUCACUCUUCCCAUUAGUCCUUGGAUGUAUUUUUGUGUAGCUAAUUCUCCUCAGAAAAGUACAUCUGCUGUCUAUUUGUUUGUAAAUAUUUAUGUGUUCAGUGUCUUGUCUCCUUGUCAAAUGAGUGUCUGUCAAUUUAGUUGUAUUUCUGUAUCACAUUAAGUUAUCCUUCGAACAGGGAAAGGGUGGUGCCUAGUGGGGGUGGAGGGGUAAAAUAAAUCAACACAAACUAUGAAGUACUGAUAUUCA
rnacentral:lncRNA from 1 species